UACGAAGGGGGCUAGCGUUGCUCGGAAUCACUGGGCGUAAAGGGCGCGUAGGCGGAUCUUUAAGUCAGGGGUGAAAGCCUGAGGCUCAACCUCAGAAUUGCCUUUGAUACUGAAGAUCUUGAGACCGGAAGAGGUAAGUGGAACUGCGAGUGUAGAGGUGAAAUUCGUAGAUAUUCGCAAGAACACCAGUGGCGAGGCGGCUUACUGGUCCGGUUCUGACGCUGAGGCGCGAAAGCGUGGGGAGCGAACAGG
rnacentral:rRNA from 1 species